rnacentral:lncRNA from 1 species
GUGGCCCUUUUAGGAGGAGUAGCUUCCGUUCACGCCCAAGACGGCAGUGAGAAGUGCGGUGCAUGCACCACUCCAAGCCCCCCACCGCCGUCUCCACCGUCGUCUCCUCCGCCGCCAUCACCGUGUCCUCCUCCACCGGCGCUUGCACCUCCAACACAGGAAAAUCCACCUCCUUCCCCCAAGAAACCUCCACCGUCUUCCUACUAUCCUCCGCCGUCGGGGGGGUUGGUUUACAUCACUGGUCCUCCCGGGCAGCUGUACCCUAUUGAUCAGGGCUUUAAUGGUGCUCAUGGAACUCGGAGCUCGAUGGGGUUACUGGCUCUGCUUGGACUCGUGUUGCUGGG